CCUACGGGAGGCAGCAGUGGGGGAUAUUGCACAAUGGGGGAAACCCUGAUGCAGCGACGCCGCGUGUAGGAAGACGGUCCUCUGGAUUGUAAACUACUGUCCCCAGGGACGAAGAUGACGGUACCUGGGGAGGAAGCUACGGCUAAAUACGUGCCAGCAGCCGCGGUAAUAAGUAGGGAGCGAGCGUUGUCCGGAAUUAAGGGGUGUAAAGGGAGCGUAGGCGGGGAUGAAAGUUGGGUGUUAAAUCUACCGGCUAAACUGGUAGUCGCACUCAAAACUGCAGCUCUUGAGUGACGGAGAGGCAGGCGGAAUUCCUAGUGUAGCGGUGAAAUGCGUAGAUAUUAGGAGGAACACCAGUGGCGAAGGCGGCCUGCUGGGCUUUUACUGACGCUGAGGCUCGAAAGUGUGGGGAGCAAACAGGAUUAGAUACCCGGGUAGUC
rnacentral:rRNA from 1 species